rnacentral:lncRNA from 1 species
AGCCUUUAUAUUGACUCCCCGACCUUUUGUGUAGAUCGGGCACCAGCUGGUCACCAACGUUGAGGCGGUGAAGAUCGCCAAGAGGGAGGUAGCUCGGGCGGAGGAGGGCCGCCUAGCUGGGGCCGCUCACCUCGAGGAGAAGAUCGCCGAGGUCCUUAGUCUUCAGGGGGUGCUGGAAAAGGAGGGACAAACUUCAUCCGAUUUGAGGACUGCCUUGGAGGAGG